rnacentral:lncRNA from 1 species
GAUUAGUAAAAAUAAGUAUAUUCCACUGUUUAACAUAAUUUAAGUACAUAUAUGAGCAAUAUAUAUAUAUGUAUAUAUACAAAUGCAUGUAUGUACAUGAAAGCAAACGAUAUAAAUGAAUUAAAUUGUAUUUAUUUAGACCCCAUGUAAAACAUAUAAAUGUCAGAGUAUUGGAUUAGCACAAAAAAACACUAUUGUGAAACCUGUAACUGUUGGGUAUCAGGAAAUAAAAUAAAUAUAAAAAAUCACGAGAAAGGCACAAGACACAUUGAAAAUUUUAAAAAGUUGGUUAGUGCAUCAUAUAAAAGAAAAGAAAAAGAAAAACAAGAGAAUGAAUUUAUUGAAAAAGAAUUGAAAAAAUUCGAAGAUGUCGAAAAAAGGUUACUCGUUAAUUUAAAAAAAAAUGAAAAUCGUGAAAUUAAUAACAUUUAUAAUAUAGGAACAGGGAAUAUAACUAAUAAUAACAUUAGCAUUGAUGACAGUAACAACGUACUUAGUAGUAACAAUAACAUCGUAAGUAGUAGUAAUAAUAACAUCGUAAGUAGUAGUAAUAAUCACAUCGUAAGUAGUAGUAAUAAUCACAUCGUAAGUAGUAAUAGUAGUAAUAAUAACACGGAUAAUACAAGUAUAAUUAAUAAUUGUAUUAGUAUAAUUGACAAUAAUAAUGUUAAUAAAAAAAAUUGGAUAUUAAUGAUAAACGAAAAUACAGGGCGUUUGAUGUUUGUAAAUAUAUUAACAAAUGAAAUAUGCUAUGAAAAACCUAAUGAUUUUUAUGAAAGUGUACCAGAAUGUGAAACAUUUUCUGAGCAAUAUGGAUGGUAUAAAUAUUUCGAUUACAAUUCAAGCAAUUUUUAUUAUUAUAAUAUUUAUAGUCAAAAAAGUAUAUGGCAAUAUAGUUUAAACACAAUAAAUAUUUUAAGUGACUAUAUUAAAAAAUGCCAUAGUGUGUUGGUAAAAAAUACAAAUAACCGCGAUAGUAAUAGUAACAAUAGUAAUAAUAUUUCAAACACUGUUAAAAAUUAUAAUACCAGUUUUGCUACACCAGUUUUACCAACGGAUAACAACAUUAAUAAAAACAUUAGAUACCAAAAUUUUCAAUAUUACCAUAAUAAAAUGAAUGGAAUUAAUAACAUAACAACAUAUAAUCCUGUAAUGAAAAACGGAAUUGAAAAGAAUAAUAAUAAUUUGGUAAAUGAUUGUAAUAAAAAAUGGGAAACACAUGAAAAGUCGAAUAUGGAAAUGAGUAGAAAAAAUGAGACAAGUGAAAUACCCUCCAUUUAUUCGAUUGAUGGAAACGAUGAAAAUGCAAAAACAAUUAAAAACAAAAUGAUUAAUACAAAUAUUAACAAUUUAUUAGUAGAUGCAAAUGUAAACACAAAACAAGAAGUGAAUUUACAUAUUGGAAAAGAAAAUAAAUUUAGUGAACAUAAUGAUAAGAUAAAUUAUGAAAGUGUGUCAAAUGAUAAUAUAAGCGUUUUAAAAAAUGAUAAUAUUUUAAAUAUAGAACAGAAAAAAAAAAAAAAAAAAUAAUAUAAAUAUUUCUUUUUCAUAUAAAAAUAAGAAUAAUAUAGAUUUGAAUACAACAUAUAAUAGAACAGAACAAGAAUUAGAGGUAAAUAAUACACGAAAUACACAACAGCUAACAAAAGAUAGUAC